rnacentral:rRNA from 1 species
UACAGAGGUCUCAAGCGUUGUUCGGAUUCAUUGGGCGUAAAGAGCGUGUAGGCGGCCAAGCAGGUCCGCUGUGAAAACUCGAGGCUCAACCUCGAGACGUCGGUGGAAACCGUUUGGCUAGAGUCCGGAAGAGGAGAGUGGAAUUCCCGGUGUAGCGGUGAAAUGCGCAGAUAUCGGGAAGAACACCCGUGGCGAAGGCGGCUCUCUGGGACGGUACUGACGCUGAGACGCGAAAGCGUGGGGAGCGAACAGG